rnacentral:rRNA from 1 species
UACGAAGGGGGCAAGCGUUGUUCGGAAUUACUGGGCGUAAAGGGCGCGUAGGCGGUGCUCUAAGUCAGGCGUGAAAGCCCUGGGCUCAACCCGGGAACUGCGCUUGAUACUGGGGCGCUUGAAUCCAGGAGAGGUUGGUGGAACUCCCAGUGUAGAGGUGAAAUUCGUAGAGAUUGGGAAGAACACCGGUGGCGAAGGCGGCCAACUGGACUGGUAUUGACGCUGAGGCGCGAAAGCGUGGGGAGCAAACAGG